CUGACGAGUGGCGAACGGGUGAGUAAUACAUCGGAAUGUACCCAGUCAUGGGGGAUAACGCUUCGAAAGGAGUGCUAAUACCGCAUACGCCCUGAGGGGGAAAGUGGGGGACGCGCAAGCGCCGUUGGGUUAAGUCCCGCAACGAGCGCAACCCUUGCCAUUAGUUGCUACCAUUCAGUUGAGCACUUUAAUGGGACUGCCGGUGACAAACCGGAGGAAGGUGGGGAUGACGUCAAGUCCUCAUGGCCCUUAUGACCAGGGCUUCACACGUCAUACAAUGGUCGGUACAGAGGGUCGCCAACCCGCGAGGGGGAGCCAAUCCCAGAAAACCGAUCGUAGUCCGGAUUGCACUCUGCAACUCGAGUGCAUGAAGUCGGAAUCGCUAGUAAUCGCGGAUCAGCAUGUCGCGGUGAAUACGUUCCCGGGCCUUGUACACACCGCCCGUCACACCAUGGGAG
rnacentral:rRNA from 1 species